rnacentral:rRNA from 1 species
GGAUUCCCCUAGUAACGGCGAGUGAACAGGGAAGAGCCCAGCACCGAAGCCUGCGGCAGAUUUGCUGUUAGGCAAUGUGGUGUUUGGGUCGGCUCGUGGGACCGCCACUCCAUCCGAAGUCCAGCAUUGAGUAUGGCUUCCUGGAUUUGGCCCAGAGAGGGUGAAAGGCCCGUACGGGUGGAGGUUCAGACAUGUGCGGCGGUUCACCAGGCCGGCCUUAGAGUCGGGUUGUUUGGGAAUGCAGCCCAAAGCGGGUGGUAAACUCCAUCCAAGGCUAAAUACUAGCACGAGUCCGAUAGCGAACAAGUACCGUGAGGGAAAGUUGAAAAGUACUCUGAAGAGAGAGUAAACAGUACGUGAAACCGCAUGCAGGUAAACGGGUGGCGUCAAGCUGCAGGCCUGGAGAAUUCAGCCGGCUAGGAUGUUGGGUAUGCGCCUGGCGCAUCUAUCAGUCAGAGUGAGAUUGAGUAGUCCACCGGUUGACGGUGGGCCUGGUCGCGAGGCCAGGAUAUGUGUACCGGAUGGGUGCCGGAGCAUGCUACUCGUCUGUGGACUGUCUAGCCGGUGCACUUUCUCUGUUUGGUCAACACCACGACCGGUGGCACUGCCAGUCUGCUGUGUCCAAGUCGCGCGUGGUGGGCCUUCGGGUGCACUGUAUGCGCGCGAUCACAGGCAAAUCCAGUAAACGGCGUGGGUGCGUUUCGGCGCGUUCGCGUGCUAUCGGCUACUGGUUGUCGUCAGCAGUCCGGCCCGGUGGCUGUUGUGACCUGCCCCGGGUGGUCUGGUGGGACAUGGUGGUAUGAACAACUGUGCAGGGCACCGGAGUUCUCGGUCUCAAAUGCGUCCAACGCUCACGUGUUACAGUUUGUGACUUAUCGGCGGCGUUGUCGUCGCCCUCUGCCCGGUGCCGAGUGUGAUUGGCGUGUCGCCCGCGCAAAGUGGGUCCGCCAAUGGCUGGGCUCGGGAUGGAGGGUUGGCGGCGGUGUCGGUGUUGGACGCGGUGGGCCUAAUAGUCAGUG